UACGUGGGGACCAAGCGUUGUCCGGAAUUACUGGGCGUAAAGGGCGUGCAGGUGGCUGCUCAAGCUUGGCGUGAAAGCCCCCGGCCCAACCGGGGAGGGUCGUCGAGGACUGGGUGGCUUGAGGGGCGCAGGGGUCGGUGGAAUUCCGGGUGUAGUGGUGAAAUGCGUAGAGAUCCGGAGGAACACCAGUGGCGAAGGCGGCCGACUGGGCGCACCCUGACACUGAGACGCGAAGGCGUGGGGAGCGAACGGG
rnacentral:rRNA from 1 species